CCGAUGAUGACUAGCGAUUCAUCCGAUUUGGUUCUCCAUCGCGGGAUUUUAUUCUACAGAAACAAUUAAACGAACACACUCUCUUUCCCAUUCUCCAUGAUUUGUAAGCUCUGAGCUCAGAACUCUCCGACUAGGUGAAAAGACAAUUGCUGCUAGUAUAAGGAUGGAAAAUGCAGAGGAUGAAGGCCAUGUUGGAGGUGGACACCAAGAGAAACAUGAAGAUGAGGAAACUGUUGCCCGCCUUGAGGAAUUCAAGAAAUCUAUUGAGGCAAAAAUGAGUCUCCGCCAGAGCAAUUUUAACCCAGAAAGGCCAGGUUGCUUUUAAGUAUUGCAUACUGUUGCAUGCAGUUAUUCUCUCACUUUUCAUUUUCAAAAUUGGGAGCAUACUAAAGUAACUGG